UUAAUAAAUAUACAAUCAGACAUAAAACAGAGGUCAAUUGAUGUCAAAAAGCACCACCUGGUAAAGAGACAUUUACCCAACUUUUAGUGAUUAUGUAUGCAAAUAUUCAAGGUUGUAUGUAUUAUUUUGUUACUGCAUGGGCACAAUUCCAUUCAAAAUUUAAAAAAACAUUCAAAUGUUAUCUUGCUUAAUCAUUGUAUCCUGGAAUCAAUUAAAAAUGACAUUUCUAACCUUGAAUAAAUACCAGAGUUAUGUCUGUUCUGAGGAAACAGACUGAUAUGAAGAUUCCUUAGCUGUUUUUUUUAGUGAUUGUCAGGGUGUAGGCAAACCAUAUGUUUUUGUGUCAGUAAGGUUGUGGGAAAUGUCCAUAUUUCAGCAUUCCAGCCACCUUUGAAGUGGUAAUGUGGAGCUUCAAAAUGACGUCACGCCCAAACUGACCACGUUCCAGCUGUGGGUUGGAAAACUGGUGGGUUUUGCUCAUUUCCACUGACCAGGCUGGCUAUAAUUAUCAUUGGUUUAUGACACAGAGGCAAAAUGUUGAUUGAUUAAAUUUUGACUGUAGCAUAUGUGACUGAUUUAAUGAGACACAAACUAACUUUUUUUUUUAAAUUAUCUGUAAUUUACAAUGAAUAAAGUUUACAAGUUAGGUUUCAGGAUCAGUAUUUUUGAUACAGUCAGCUCUCUGAGGAUUGAUUCAACCAUUUUGCUCCAGUUUAUUUCUCCAAGAAGCUCAGAAAUUCAGAUUUCAAAGCUCCAACUUCACUAGUACUGCUGCAUUUCAGAAAUAUAUCUUAAAAUAAUCAUUAGAAUGAAUACGAAGAGCACUUCAGUCCUCUUUUUCUCUAGUUUGCGCAAAAGUUUAGGUUUGUGUGUGUGUGUUUGAUAGUAAAUAGGGAUGGGUGAGGGGCUGGGGGUGGCACUGUAAAUCAUAGGCUGGACUAAAAAAAGAACCCUAUGGUUCCUUUGUCUUUUGAUUCCCUGUGGGCAGUAGCCUCUUAAGAAUUGAACUGCAGCCACCUGUGUGUCUGCAAAGCCUCUUUUACACAGGACACAGUCCUUUUCUUUGUCUUAACAACAUAAAAUAUAUAUUUUUGCAAGAUACAAGGUCUUGCAAAUGUCACGUCUACUCUUAAGCCACUUUAUUUAGCUUUACAGUGUAUGCAGAAAACACUUCUUAUCUACACUCCUUUCAGUCAGAUAAAAAUAGUUAAGCAACUGCAGCAGAAGUCAGCGGCUCCUUCGCACUAGAAAUUCAAUAAACAUUUUAGGCAGCAACUCUUUGCUGUGCAGUGACCAAACCUGUAUUACUUGCUUGCUCUUCACAAAACCCAGACCGGAUCAAUAAGUUUCUUUCUCUCUCUCAUACUCAGCACUGUACUCGCACAGUUUAACACACACACACACACACACACACUCACACACGCCCACAAAAAAAUGUGGUCCCAGAAUCUUGUGACCGCUGAUGCAUUUCGAAGCAAAAAAAGGUAAGGGAGAAAAGAAAGACUUCAAACUUCAAGGCAUACAAAGCCCAACAUCCAUAUUGAUUAAACAAAUUUGCCACAAAUCAUUUUACAAAUGCCCAGUGGGGGGCUAUAGAGGCCAGUGGAAAUACCCCAUUCAUGCUCUGUCCUCCCCCGCAGGGCUGAAGCCUCGACUCUUGGCUCGUUUAAGCGUGCUGACAACCUCUGAUCCCCUGGCCAUCUGCAGGGUGGGCCGGUCUGCACUCAGGGCCCUUUGUGCUUGAGACUUCAGAUUUAAAGGGAAAACUGCAGGACAGAGCAAAGGAAAAUCUUCCUCAUUUACUCUUGGUUCCUCACCAUUUGCAAGGCACACAAGUCACAGGGAGAAACUGGAAAACGGAAAUUGUUCUGAGAGAUUUUGUUUGGGUUGUGUCACUCUCUGCAGCCCACAGCAGCUGCCUGGUGUGUUCAUGCAGUGACUCACACAAGUUUGGGUGAACUUCAGCUCCGCCUUCUCCCCCUCACCACGCUGCUCUUUAUGAAUGAAAGUGGGUGGAGGCAGCUAUGCGGAUCAGUAUUUCUGAAUGCGGGUGUGUGUGUGUGUGUGUUGGAUUGGGUGUGUGUGUGUGUGUGUGUGUGUGUGUGUGUGUGUUGGUGGGACGAGCUCUCAGGAUUAUGGUCUGGAAGCAUGUUAGAUAAUAGAUCAAAGAGAUACGCCGGAGAGAGCCCUUCAUGCGUUUUCUACCAAACACUCAUCGUUAUGAGGAGUGGCAAAUUAUUUUAUUCCUCAAAAUGAUGCGAAACCCUUGAAAAAAGAAAUCAAAUAGAAAAAAAUUAUUGACCAAAGUAACUACUUGUUUCAUCUUUUGCAGCUAAGUGCUGCACAAGAUUAUUCCACUUAUUUUACGUUUCACCUGUAUUGUUUUGUAUGCUGGACAUAACAUAAAUCCGCACAUUUGUCAGAGUUUGUGAUGUCAAAAAAAAAAAAAUCUGACAUUUAGUGAAUAAUUUCAGAACUUUUUACAUCACUAAUAUUACCUGCAACCUGUGCAAAAUUUCAAAAAUAUAUUUAAAUCAAUGGUAAGAGGAGUCAGUAUGUCGUAUAAGUUCCACUGACGCUGUUAAGGUUUAUCCUUUCAGAACCUGUUGUACUUAAUUUUAUUUGGCUUUUUGUUUUUGUUAUAGCAAAUAAACCAAAAUUAAAAACAUCUAGAUAUCUAGGUUGGUUAUCUAGAUCACAUUUAGAAAAAUCAACUGAGUUUCCAAGAUGGACAAGUCAAAUUUUUACCUCAAGAAAUAACAUACAGUAACUGCCUUGUAGUGGGUGUCACCCAUGUUUGAGCAAAUAUUAGUUUUCAAAUGUCUCAGAUGACUCAGUGGCCUUUCUAGCAAAGAAAAAAAACUAUAUCUAAGAAGAAUGCUCACAUUUUUAGCCUAUAGGAUUGGCCUUUUAAGCAUUCAUCACUGAAUUCCCAAAAACUGUAGGAUUUUUAAAAAUAGAUUUCAGUCAGAAGAAAGGAGCAAAUCUACUUUCAAGGCAUUAAAUGUCAUCAAGUGGUUUAACACAGAGAUAUAUUGAUGGAGCAGCAGAAAUUUCACAACAAUCUGCUGUACUCGUGAAAAACGGAAGAUUGUUCUUACAAUAACAAACCUCCCAAACCUCGAUAAAAUUGGCAAAGUUACAUUUGAAGAGUCCCAAUGGUGGGAAAACAGUGUUACGAUAUAAUGAAAGCAAGGCUGACCUUUCAGACAAUUUUUCCCACGAGGUAAAUUUGGUGUAAAAACAUCACCAAAAUGACCACCAUACCCACAGUGAAGCAAGGUGGUGGCUCCGUCAUGCCUUAGAGCUGCUUUUCUUCAGCUGCAAUUGAGGAUUUAAGUGGAAGGAAUCAUGAAGAGUUCCACAUAUCAGUAAAUGCCGAAACCAAACCAAACCUUUGGGCUUCUGCUAGAACUUUGAAGAUGAUGAGGAAGGAACUCCAUCUUUCACUACAACACAAAGUAUACAUCCAGAUCAUUAGAACACUGGUUUCUGUGCACACUAUAUGGCCUCGCAACCUGGCAGACUUCGAGUGCUCUUGCAGAGAGGAAUGGGCAAAUAUUGCCAAUUCAAAAUGAACAAUGCUAGUAAGAGUCAUUACCCAAAAUGAAAAAGUGUUGUGUAAAUUCAUCUUGUUCUCAGUUCUUCACAGAACUAAAACCUGGGCUUUUUAGUUCCAGGUGUUUUGAUUUAUUUAGCAAUUUUCACACCUUUCUGCAGAUAAUGUCCUACAUACUAACAAAUGUGCAUCACAUGAGACAAAAGCACAGGUGAUGCAUCACCUAAUUUAAACCUAACAUGCAGUUUUAAUGAACUAUUUUCACUGUUUGUAGUUUCAUCAGUAUCGUUGUUUGAAACUUUACAUGCAAUGCAGAACGGUUGCCUCUAACCUCCACAGGCUUUUACCAACAUGCACUUCAAGGAAUCCUCAAAAACCCUUCAUAAUUAUUCCACAGAAAAGAUAAAAGGACUCCCAAUUAAAUCAGAAACUACUAAAGGGGCACAAUCAUGUUUCCAUUUGUCAAAGGCAAACUAACUCUGAUGUGAACCCUUGGUGUUGACAGACAUCUCCAUCAGGAAGUAACUUUGCUUGAGUUUGUGCUCAUGCUGAGCUUGUAAAUGCAGCAGCGUGCUUCAGUGGAUCCAUUAGUGCCAGAAUGCGAGAGACGAAGAAAUCAAUUCACAGGAGCCUCCUAUUCAGGUGAAGCAUCUUCUGCUUACGAAUACAGAGGGCUGACAUCUGUGUGUAAAAACGGCCAGAAUAAUAGAUGGCAACAAGCAAAACACGCACUUUAUUGAAAAAUCUAUUGCUGGAGCAGCUUGGCUUUUAGAAUCAAAGACCUUGAUGGUUGAACUAAUGUUAUUUACAAUUGACAUCAGUUGAUUCAGACAGACGACUGGGAAGUAUUCAAAAAUGCACAUAGAGUAUGUAAGUAAACAACGCAUUAUAUCAAAGUUAACCUCAACCUUUACUCUUGACACUCUGCUGCCCCCUUAUGGACAAACUAAAAAAUGCAUGAGCCCGACAUUUUUGAUUUCAGGUUCCAGUCAUUGCUCCUUAGCACUUUACAGGAUAUUACUCAGCUAAAACGAAUCUCAAAUAAAUAAAAGCAAAAAUAAAUUCAAAUGAAUACAAAUUUAUUGAAAUUGGCAUUCAUCAGUGAGCAGAAAAACACUGUGUAAACAAAUGCUGUAGUUUGUCAUCACUCCUGUCAGUGUAUGUCAUUCACUUUGCCUGUAAACGCAACUUUCAACUGUAAUUUAUCUGCCUAUAGGAAAUGUAACACUUUACCUGCUAGUUACACACUACAACAACACAAAAUCAUAACCAGUAUUUUUAGUUUCUAGUGCAAAUAUAUUAGAACAAUAUUGAAAUAAGACAAAUCUACGUCAUAUGUAACUUUUCCAAAACAUGUAGGAGCUUGUUUUAGGUCAAUAAAUUGUUUAAUAUUUAUCAAAACUACUAGCUCCACUGUAAGAUAUUUCUCACUUAUAAUAUGGAAAGAAUAUCUUGUGAUAAGUAAAGAAAUCUGCCAGUGGAACUAAUAGUUUUAAUCAAUAGUCAAGAGUUAUUGACCUGAAAGGUUCUAUAUCUUGCAGAAAAGUUGCUUGUAAGUUAGAACACUUGAAAUAGGAGAAAACUAAAAUAUUAGCA